UACGGGGGGGGCAAGCGUUGUUCGGAAUUACUGGGCGUAAAGGGCUCGUAGGUGGCCAACUAAGUCAGACGUGAAAUCCCUCAGCUUAACUGGGGAACUGCGUCUGAUACUGGUCGGCUUGAGUGCAGGAGAGGAACGCGGAAUUCCAGGUGUAGCGGUGAAAUGCGUAGAUAUCUGGAGGAACACCGGUGGCGAAGGCGGCGUUCUGGGCUGCAACUGACACUGAGGAACGAAAGCCAGGGGAGCAAACGGG
rnacentral:rRNA from 1 species